AAAUUUGAAAGCUGGUACCUUCGGUAUCCGCGUUGUAACCUCGAGACACGUUUUCCGUGCGGCGCUAUGGACAAGUUCCUUGGAACAGGACAUCGUAGAGGGUGAAAAUCCCGUACUUGCCAUGGAUGUACCGUGCUUUGCGAUACGUGCUCUAAGAGUCGAGUUGUUUGGGAUUGCAGCUCAAAAUGGGUGGUAGACUCCAUCUAAAGCUAAAUAUCGGGGAGAGACCGAUAGCGAACAAGUACCGUGAGGGAAAGAUGAAAAGCACUUUGGAAAGAGAGUUAAAAGUACGUGAAAUUGUCGAAAGGGAAGCGCUUGAAGUCAGCCAUGCCGCUCAGGACUCAGCCUGGCUUUUGCUUGGUGUAUUUCCUGGGUAGCAAGUCAGCAUUGGUUUGGAUCGUCGGAGAAGCAUAGUCGGAAUGUGGCGCCCUCGGGCGUGUUAUAGCCUUCUAUUGGAUACGACGAUCUAGACCAAGGAACGCAGCGCGCCUUAUGGCGGGUCUUCGGACACCUUCGCGCUUAGGAUGCUGGCGUAAUGGCUUUAAGUGGCCCGUCUU
rnacentral:rRNA from 1 species